AAACCCCCCAGAAAUUAAAGGGAAUCUUUUUAAUGGCAUUUUGGAUCAGGCCCUGAGAUCCCUGCAGGGACUGAGGAGGGUGGGGGGGCAGGAUUUACAUUUCAUGGCUUUUAAGGAAUCUGAAGUACGGCAGAGAACAGAGCUUUCCAAGGCCAAGUUUCCCAAAUCUAUGUGGAUAUAUGACAGAGUGUGUAUGCGAUUAAGUUUAAAGCCCUCUCUAACAGCAAGCAAGCACAUUCCCUUUCCUGCACCCUGAACCCCACUUCUCCAAUUUUAAAACAAAAAUGCGUUGCCAAAACCUUGGGAACCGACAGGGAUGGGGAAGGAAUUAGUCUUAGCUCUCCCAGCCACUUGGGGCUGUUGCACUGAGACAUUAGAGACUACGAAAACGAGCCCCAGAGUGAACCAAAUAAGACGUAGCUCUUUACAUUUUUUUUCUCCUUUUUUUUUUUUUUCUCCCUCCCUCUCUUCCUCCCCUAAAACAUAAGUAUUUCCAGAAUCACUGAUGAAAGCCAUUUGAUAUGUAGGAAGAGAUGUGCCGUCUGCAGCGCGACUCAGUGUUUGCAGAGUGGGAUGAACAGAUUUUCCUUUCCAUAGGGUUUCCUCCUGCAAAGUCAUUGUAGAGGAGGGAAUAUCGUAAGAUUAAAUCUGUUUCAAAAACUAUAUUCAUGUCACACCAGAUACAGUCUCCAGACUGCACGCAGUCUUUCAGCUCUCUUCAUUGUGAAAUCCUUUUAAAACAACACCGCGUGGAGCAGAAAACGUAUUCCAGCAUAGCUCUCACCCCAGCUCAGCCAGAUGAAAUAAAGGGCAGUUAUCAGCCCUUUGGAAUUAACUGAUCUGCUCCGUGUCUCUGGCUGCUGUAGCACUGUCUCGCUUUCUGAGACUCUUUCCUUAUUAAUAAGCUGAUAGUUCAGUGGAGCUGCUAAUGGAUCGAUGCCCCUGGGGGAGCAGGCGGUCCCCUCUGCCGGGUGCUGUGACACCACCAGGAUGGAGCUGGAGCUGUCUAUGGGAAAUGGAUGUGCGUGUGUGUGUAGGAGCAGGGAGAGCAAGUUAACCAAAGGGACACAGCAGAAUUCCCGUAUUUAGGAAAGGCAGAUCGGCUCGCUGCCUGACCUCAUUUAGCAUACAGAGAUUUGCUCCGUGUGUGUUGAAUUGUUUUUUCUUUAUUUAAAUUGGAUUUUAAAUAUAUGUUGACAGUAGGAAUUGGUACAGCGUGAGCAACUGCGGGAGCAGUGACAGCUCUGCUUUUGUUACUGAACGACUUGUCUGGGAAAUAAGGGAAUGUGUACACAAACGGAUUCUUAUUUUGCCAAUGACAUUAGCACAGCUGAUAAUAACCAUGAAGAGAACGAUGCCGAAAGCGGCGUGCUUUCAGGUCAUAGGAGGUACUGCUCACCGGUGAGGCAAAGAGAUGUUUUUAAGGUAACUUCUUGGUGAGAUUCUCCUGCUAUUCAUGCAAAGGAGAGGCCAGAUGUGCGAGGAGCGUUUCACUUUAAGCUGUGCUAAUUUUCUUCUUCUUACAGCUAACGAGCAGCGCAAGCAACUGUCUGAGUUAAAUACAGGAUUUGAAUAUAAGAGGCCCUAUUUGUACAGUAGUGGCACAACAGACAUGUUUUACAAUGCUAAGAAUUCCUUUUAAUAACAGCAUAUUUUAAUGUAUUUACUAAAUUAGGUACCCGAGAGAAUCUUCUACAACGGUGAUGUGAAAAUCCCUGUUACCUGAGGUCAGAACAAAAGUCUCCCAGAAGACCUGGAGUGGUGACGUCUGGACUGAGAAGAGAUCACACUGCUUAUAAAUCUGCACCAUGAGGAGGCCAAAAGUUUCUUCAGCAGCAGGAGGUAAGCCAGGACUGCUGGCGGGUAUGAGGACCAGAGAGCAAUGUUCCAUACAUUCAAGAAGAAGAAAGUGGUGCUUUUGAGGAAUAGACUUUGAAUCAGCAUCACAGUCCUCCAGAGAAAGCCCAAAGAGCUCUUCAGGUGGGAGCACACCACCCAGCCAGCUGCUUGUUGGGUUUAGCCCAUGGACAUCUGGGGUCUGCACACCAGAGACUGAGAACUCUUGACUUAUCCUAAAUUUCCUCUUUGUGGACUUCUGAUGUGACAGGAAUGGCACCAAAAAUUCAAUGUACCUGCUUUGCCAUAACUUUUCCAUACUGCUGACUUUCCCAGGACUACAUUCCGUUCAAAUUACGGGAACUUAAUUACGUGAGGCUUAAUUUCAGUUGCUUGGCCAGCUUUAAAAAUAUAUAUUCAAAUUUGGACCUCGGGGGCAGAAUCUGGGGAGCCUCUUUGUCCUUUUGCUUUGUGUUAACGUAAGUGAAGAAACUAUGCCUGUGAAUCUCUGCUUUAUUACACCUAUUCCAAGUCAGUCUCACUUCUGCUGAGACUUCCCAGACUUUCAGCAAUGCAAGAGGGGGCAUGAAAUACCCCUAAUAUUAUAGUCUAUGCUUCUGAAACAGUCAAACAAAAGAUAUUUGUCUCCUGCUUACGUGUUUUCUUGUAAAUAAAACGCGUUGAGACCAGA